UAUACCGUGAAACUGCGAAUGGCUCAUUAAAUCAGUUAUCGUUUAUUUGAUAGUACCUUACUACAUGGAUAACCGUGGUAAUUCUAGAGCUAAUACAUGCUAAAAACCUCGACUUCGGAAGGGGUGUAUUUAUUAGAUAAAAAACCAAUGCCCUCCGGGGCUCCUUGGUGAUUCAUAAUAACUUCUCAGAUCGCAUGGCCUUGCGCCGGCGACGGUUCAUUCAAAUUUCUGCCCUAUCAACUUUCGAUGGUAAGGUAUUGGCUUACCAUGGUUUCAACGGGUAACGGGGAAUUAGGGUUCGAUUCCGGAGAGGGAGCCUGAGAAACGGCUACCACAUCCAAGGAAGGCAGCAGGCGCGCAAAUUACCCAAUCCCGAUACGGGGAGGUAGUGACAAUAAAUACUGAUACAGGGCUCUUUAGGGUCUUGUAAUUGGAAUGAGUACAAUUUAAACCUCUUAACGAGGAACAAUUGGAGGGCAAGUCUGGUGCCAGCAGCCGCGGUAAUUCCAGCUCCAAUAGCGUAUAUUAAAGUUGUUGCAGUUAAAAAGCUCGUAGUUGAACCUUUGGCCUGGCUGGCGGGUCCGCCUCACCGCGUGCACUCGUCCGGCCGGGCCUUUUCUUCUGGAGAACCGCAUGCCCUUCACUGGGUGUGUUGGGGACCAGGACUUUUACUUUGAAAAAAUUAGAGUGUUC
rnacentral:rRNA from 1 species